UGGCAGCUGCCCUGUUUGCAAACACUCCCUCUUCCUCUCCGUGCCCUCCUUGGCCUCAGGCCCAGAGCGAGGCUACAACUCAGGGCUGGAUCGUGUGUCACACACUCCCUGGCCCCUGUACACCCCGCAGGGCCCCUGCUGAGGCCACCGAGGUGUUGCCCAGAGUGGGGCUGACAGCAGGUGUGCUCCUGUGGAGGGACCCCAAGGAGCCUUUGAAUCCAGGUUUAAGCCGAAGCCUUGGAGCCUCUGACCUGGACGAUCUGAGUGUGCUUCCUGGAGUAGGAAUCGUUGGAGAGAAGAAGGGAGUGAACGGAGAGACGGAGUCUCACUCUGCUGCCCAGGCUGGAGUGCAGUGGCGCGAUCUCGGCUCACUGAAACCUCCACCGCCUGGCUUCAAGCGAUUCUCCUGCCUCGGCCUCCCCAAGUGCUGGGAUUACAGGAGGCCUUUGACACAUGAACGCUGGAGAGAGUGGGUCUCCAAACGCUAUCAUCCAGGAAGACUGAAGAAAUGCUGCUUCAUAAAAAUCAAAACUCCGCAAGCCUCCCGUCCUAUCUCCUCUGUCUCUCUAGACUUACACUGCCAUCUCUCAUCUGUUCGUUCAUUCAUUUAACAAAUAAUGUAAAAAUUACCUACUGAGAUUCAAGCGUUGUCCUAGACACUAGGAAUUCCAGACAGAUCCAUAAUAGACAAGAUAUUGGAUCUGUCCGGAAUCCCUAGUGUGUAGGACAAAGAUGCACAUGCCCCAGUCAGAAACUGUGAAUAUGUUACUUUACAUGGCAAAAGGGACCUUGUGGAUGUAAUUAAGGGUCUAGACCUUGAAAUGGGAAAAUUAUCCUGGAUUAACCAAGUGGCCCCAAUCUAAGUCCUUAAAAUCAGAGAACUCGCUGGGCACCAUGGCUCAAGCCUGUAAUCCCAGCACUUUGGGCGACUGAGGUGGGUGGAUCACCUGAGGUCAGGAGUUCAAGACCAGCCUGGCCAACAUGGUGAAACCCCAUCUCUACUAAAAAUACAAAAAUUAGCCAGGUGUGGUGGUGGGUGCCUGUAAUACCAGCUACUCAGGAGGCUGAGGCAUGUGAAUCACUUGAACCUGGGUGGUGGAGGCUGCAGUGAGCCGAGAUUGCACCACUGCACUCCAGCCUGGGUAACAGAGCGAGACUCGGUCUCAAAAAUAAAUAAAUAAAUAAAUAAAUAAAUAAAUAAAUAAAUAAAAUCAGAGAACCUUUCAAGCCACAGUGAGAGAGAGAGAGAGAGAUACAAAGGCAGAGGAAAGAUCAGAGAGACGCAGUGUUGCUGGCUUUGAUGAUGGGGGUGGAGCCACAAGCCAAGGAAUGCAGGUGGCCUCUAGAAGCUGGAAAGGGCAGGGGAAUGGAUAUCCCCUAGAGCCUUCCAAAGGCUGACACCUUGAUCUUAGCCCACUAAUGGAGUCUGACUUCUGACCUACAAAAGUGCACGAUGAUAAGACUGCAUUGUUUUAAAGCACUAAAUGUGUGGUGAUGUGUUAUGGCAGCAGUGGAAGCAGAUACGGAUCUUUCAUAGAGCUGGAAGUCUAGCAGAGAUUGACAACACCACUGAAAAGUUCUGACAAUGCAAAUUUCCCUCAGCCUUUGCUCCUCUGAGAACUCCUUUUCUCCUUGUGUCUGCUGGUGAAAUAAUACCAUCCCGUCUGUGAGGUUUCCUUGAUUUCUCUGCUACAAAUAAUAGCUCCUUCCCUGGAAUCCUGCAGCUGUUGUUCAUUUUCAGCAAAUAACUCUAACAAGCAAUAUUUUGCGGUUUUAAACGAUUUCACACACAUUUUCCUCAUUGAGUUGGGGCCUGAGGUCACCCAACUAGUUCGAAUCUGGGUUGGAACCACGGUUGACACCUGGCAGGAGAGUCGGACUCCAGACUCCUGCUUCUGUUUCAGCGUACACGGUUCCCAAUCCGAGGAGCAAACGAGUGAAAUCAUUUAAAACAGAUUGUAAUCGUGGCUCCUAAGUUAAAUUUCUCCGAGCCUAGCUUUUUCCCCUCUGGAUCGUGGAUGUAACCGCAGUUCCUAUGGCCCACAGUUGGAGUCCUGCAGGGCCGGCAGAGUAGGCGAGCUCUCCUUGCGUCUUCCCAACAACCCUGGAGCCCCACUGUAUUCUUCCAGAGAAGGAAACGGGUGGCCGGGCACGGUGGCUCAUGCCUGUAAUCCUAGGACUUUGGGAGGCCGAGGUGGGUGUACUAGGAGGUCAGGAGUUCAAGACCAGCCUGGUCAAGAUGGUGAAACCCCAUCUCUACUAAAAAUACAAAAAUUAGCCGGGCGUGGUGGCAGGACCCUGUAUUCCCAGCUACUCAGGCUGAGGCAGGAGAGUCACUUGAACCCGGGAGGCAGAGGCGAGGCUCCGUCUCAAUAAAUGAAUGAAUGAAGAAAGAAAUAAAUGAAAGGAACGGGGACUGAAAAAGACCAAGUCGCUUUUCCAAGGUUACGUUGCUCCUGAAGCUAACGCAUGCCUGCUGGGUCUCCCUCCCCUCCCCGCACGCACCUCCGAGUCUUCCCAUUUUUUUUUCAAUCCAAUAGAACCUAAGUCUUCCCACU